rnacentral:rRNA from 1 species
GACGAACGCUGGCGGCGUGCUUAACACAUGCAAGUCGAACGGAAAGGCUCCAGCUUGCUGGCGUACUCGAGUGGCGAACAGGUGAGUAACACGUGGGUAAUCUGCCCUGCACUCUGGGAUAAGCCUGGGAAACUGGGUCUAAUACUGGAUAUGACCUUUCUCCUUAUGGGGUUUGGUGGAAAGUUUUUCGGUGUAGGAUGAGCCCGCGGCCUAUCAGCUUGUUGGUGGGGUGAUGGCCUACCAAGGCGACGACGGGUAGCCGGCCUGAGAGGGUGAUCGGCCACAUUGGGACUGAGAUACGGCCCAGACUCCUACGGGAGGCAGCAGUAGGGAAUAUUGCACAAUGGGCGGAAGCCUGAUGCAGCGACGCCGCGUGAGGGAUGACGGCCUUCGGGUUGUAAACCUCUUUCAGCAGGGACGAAGCGUAAGUGACGGUACCUGCAGAAGAAGCACCGGCUAACUAUGUG